CCGGAAGGCGGCGGGAAGGAGCAGGAUUCGGGGCGAUGGCGACGCUCAGCGCGGUGCUGGUGAUGGGCGUGAGCGGCUCGGGGAAGUAAGAAAACUGAGGUUUAGAGGACAAGGUGACUUACACAGGAGGACACAGUCAUUUAGUGGCAGAAUGGAGACCGUGACCAGACCUCAGUUUCUGGGACACAAGCCCUCUUCACUGACCGUGCAGCCUGGUAGGAUCUGAACAGAUCCACUGUCGGCGCCCUGCUGGCCUCCGAGCUAGGAUGGAAAUUCUACGAUGCAGAUGACUAUCACCCAGAGGAAAAUCGAAUGAAGAUGGGGAAAGGAAUACCGCUGAAUGACCAGGACAGGAUUCCAUGGCUCUGCAACUUGCAUGACAUUUUACAAAGAUAAAUGAAACUUGACUAUUCUCAGCACCCUCUGGAGAUUGGUCUCAGGAGCAGAAAAGCAUACAAAAUUGAUCACUCAUCAGCAAGUCACGUUACACCACACACCUCUUAAUUCUCUCUCUCUCUCUUUGGGUCAUUUCAAGAGGCCCCUAUGAGACCAGGCUGGUUUCCACCUGCUGUGCAAGCCAUUGAUGAUGGGCACUAGGCAGGCAAGGAAGGAACACCAGAGAAGCUGCUAUGGCCAAAAGCUGAAACAAAAUUUUCCACUGGGCAACAUUGCCAGUGGCAGCCGGGUUGGGCGAAGCUGUGGGGAGUUCAGGGGCACUGGUGGGUUGCUGGCAUGCAGCUUACCAGGCACCAGCAGGGAAAGCUGUAAUCUGGCCAGCAUGGGUUGGGUUUGAGCCCUUCCCUGAUGGGGCUCCAGGAAGAAGCUUCCUUAUCCCUCUAUCCUGACUGGGGCCACAUGACCCAGCCACUUUGUGGGGCCACUGGUUCGCUCUGGCCAGAAAGUGAGUUUUGGGACCAAUUACCUGUUUUCUUUUACAAGGGUAUGCAUUUCUUUGUCUCAGGAACCACAAACAGAAAAUGUGCAUGGGGUGCCAGUGGAGUGAAAGGGCUCUUCUAGGUGGACAGACCUUGCCUAAGAAAAUGCGGAGCCCUGGAUUUUCCUCGCAGCUAGACUAUUUGAGGCACCUCCUGCCCGGCUUUGGUACACAUCAACUUUCAUAUUCAGGAUCUAGGCCCUUAAGUUGUCCAGGCAACAUACUCUGGCUGGAUGAGAGUCACUCCCAGGUGUAGAGAAAGGACUCAAUUGGUUCAUUGUACUCAGUGAGUCUGUACUGGGUAAUGUGAUGGGCACUCUGGAGGGUUUGAGGACCUGUAACACUGAGCCCGGGCUCUCAGGGCCCUAAGUUGGGGUGGAAAGAUAGGGCAUCUCAUAUCCUCUGGUACCAGCUAGAGUUCUUAGUGAAGGCAGUUCUUCAUAAGAAAGAAGUGAUUUUCAAAUAUCCUGCUGGACUUUUAUGUAGGACCAAAUGAAAAAGCCUGCUUAUAAUUAUUGGAGCAUUGAAUCUAACUCUAUUUUAUACAUAAGUAAAAUCUUUUUUUUUUUUUUGCAGUUUUAAUAUACAUUGAAAUUUUCAAGAAUGCAAUAAAGGGACAAUUGAAUUCUAUUUUAUUUUUAACUUUACCGAGAAUUGUUUACCAUUUCAGAAAAUCAGCAAAUUUCUGCCAAACACAACAACCUACAUCCACCUGCAUUUGUAAUUCUUCAUUCUCAGUGAUUCAACGGGCAAAGCAUCAAACUAACUCUAUUGUGUUCAUCUAGUAUAGUCAUGUCCAAGUAUAACAUAUUGAAACCCAUCAGUUAUUACAUGUUACUUUCCUUUUUUCUUCUUUCAGAGUUAAAAGUAUCAUAUUAUUUGGUUAGGUAAGUUUUAUUAGGAGUUGAUUUCACUUCAAGAUGGUAAAGGGGGCAUUAGAAAAUAUUAAAAAAAAAAAAAGUCUGGUGUGGCUGGGAAUCAGGGCUCUAACCUUCCCAAGGAUGGCCACAGGGAGGCUGAGAUGUGGACCAGUACUGCCCUCUGGUGGCCCUGGGGGACAUAGCAAGCACAAACUGCUCUCCCACUCCUAGACCCUUCUAGUCACCAAGGGUCAAUUCCCAGUUCAGGGGCAGUGGACUGCUGCUCCCCACCCAACCCU